CUUGCCAGUCAAGAUGAAAAACUUCUUCUAAUGGAAUCCAGCUUGAAAGGAACUCAAGAGCAGCUAAGUGAGCAAAUAACAGAAACAGUUCGCCAAGAACAGAACAGUAGAAAAUCACAGACAGAGCUGAAGACCCUGAGAGAACGUAUUAUAGCUUCUGAAGAAGGAAUUAGGGAUUACAACAUCAAAGACAGCUCAACAGCAAAAGCUUCAUGGAGCUCUCAACAGGCAGCAGUUAGAACCAGUAUCAGCCAUUGAACAAGUAAACAGUCUGAAACAACAGCUCUGCAAGUCUGAAGAACAGUGCCAACAGCAGGACCAGCAAAGGCAUAUUGUCUGGCUGAACAGCACUUCAUAGAAUUGGAAAAGGAGGCGAAGAACUUCAGACGCAAACAGAGAAAUGAUGCUCAAAUGGUUGAGUUUUAUGAUGAAACAUUAGCAAAGCUGCAGAAGGAGCUGAAGCAAUCAAAAGAACAGCUCAUACAAUGUACUAAAAAUCUGUAUUCUACAGAACAGAAUAUUCAGGCUUUAAACAUGGAAAUAAGUUUAUAGGAAAGAAAUCAGAGUCCAUUGACAAGGCAGAACACCUCCAAAGUGAACUAAAUAUAUUUACAAUAAUGUUUGACACAGCAAGUAGAGAGCUGGAAACUUUGCACCAGGCUCUGGAAGCAGCACGAACUGACAACAGUCGCCUCCAUCAGGAAAGUGAGUUAGUGGUUGCAAAUGUUAAUCAGUGGAUCAAAGAACAAAAUGAACUACCGGAGUUGAUGGGAGAGCGAUUGGCCUGGUGGAUCAAUCGCUGCGCGUCGAUCCCCCUGGU